rnacentral:rRNA from 1 species
AAAUGAAUUGACGGGGGCCCGCACAAGCAGCGGAGCAUGUGGUUUAAUUCGAAGCAACGCGAAAAACCUUACCAAGACUUGACAUCCCUUGAAUCCUGUAGAAAUACAGUUGGCCCGAAAGGGACAAGGAGACAGGUGGUGCAUGGUUGUCGUCAGCUCGUGUCGUGAGAUGUUGGGUUAAGUCCCGCAACGAGCGCAACCCUUGUCGAUAGUUACCAGUAUUAAGUUAGGGACUCUAUCGAGACUGCCGUGGACAACACGGAGGAAGGUGGGGACGACGUCAAAUCAUCAUGCCCCUUAUGUCUUGGGCUACACACGUGCUACAAUGGCCGCAACAGAGGGCAGCGAAGCGGUAACGUGGAGCGAAUCUCAGAAAAGCGGUCUCAGUUCGGAUUGUGGGCUGCAACCCGCCCACAUGAAGAUGGAGUUGCUAGUAAUCGCGAAUCAGCAUGUCGCGGUGAAUGCGUUCCCGGGCCUUGUACACACCGCCCGU